GAUGAAGAACGUAGCGAAAUGCGAUAAGUAAUGUGAAUUGCAGAAUUCAGUGAAUCAUCGAAUCUUUGAACGCACAUUGCGCCCCCUGGUAUUCCGGGGGGCAUGCCUGUUCGAGCGUCAUUUCACCACUCAAGCCUCGCUUGGUAUUGGGCAACGCGGUCCGCCGCGUGCCUCAAAUCGACCGGCUGGGUCUUCUGUCCCCUAAGCGUUGUGGAAACUAUUCGCUAAAGGGUGUUCGGGAGGCUACGCCGUAAAACAACCCCAUUUCUAAGGUUGAUCUCGGAUCAGGUAGGGAUACCCGCUGAACUUAAGCAUAUUAAUAAGCGGAGGA
rnacentral:misc_RNA from 1 species